rnacentral:rRNA from 1 species
AACGGGUGAGUAAUGCAUCGGAACGUGCCCAAUCGUGGGGGAUAACGCAGCGGAAGCUGUGCUAAUACCGCAUACGAUCUACGGAUGAAAGCGGGGGACCUUCGGGCCUCGCACUAUUGGAUGAGCCUAUGUCUGAUUAGCUAGUUGGUAGGGUAAAAGCCUACCAAGGCGACGAUCAGUAGCUGGUUUGAGAGAAUGAUCAGCCACACUGGGACUGAGACACGGCCCAGACUCC